CUGAAGGAAAUGAAGAAGUGUUCUUUGAACGUACGUGUUCGAGUUACCUAGCUACUGUUACAGAAGCAAGUUACCCUACGCUGUCAAAAGCACCUCAAAUCUUGCAAUAAAAAAAAAAGUUUUAUCCGAGUAGCCUAAAGUGAUUCUGGUUAGAAGUACCUAUCCACUGAAUUGUACAAUGUUGACCAUGAAAGUCAUAUUCUUUGCGUUUUUAGUCGCUGUAUUGCACCUUGUUGUUAUAAAAGAUGCUCUGGUUUCCGCUGGUGAUCGCUCAGAUGAAGCUUUGCUCGGCCCAAACUAUCCGAGGUCGGACGAAUAAAGCAGAAAUGACCAUAAUGGAGAAACACAGGACAACUGUGUAACAUACAGCAUAAAAUGUAUAAUGCUUUUUACCGACAUAAAUAAAUGAAAAAUUCGAAA